UUAAGUUCAGCGGGUAUCCCUACCUGAUUCGAGGUCAAUCUAGAAAAAUUGGGGGUUUGUGGCAAUAUCACCUCACAUUCCAAGCGAAAGAAAACUUACUACGCCGUGGCACGUGGGGCUCUACGCCUUUGGAUUUCGAAAGUGAGUACACAUAUGCAUACUCAUCUCUCAAUACCAAGCAAAAAAGCUUGAGUAGAUUA
rnacentral:misc_RNA from 1 species